rnacentral:tRNA from 1 species
AGUUAAUGAACUUGUAUAAGUAUAUGUUUUGAAAACAUAAUAAAGGAAUAUAGAAAAUCCGUAUUAACUUU